UCCUCGUCUACUUCGAGCACAAAAUGAUGAUACUUCUCAUUUAUGACAAGAACUUUACAGCAUCCUCCACCCUUUACACAUCAAUACACUUAACUUAAUCCAUAAAACCCACCUCUUUUUCCCAAAUAAAUACAAAAGAUCAUGUAAUUUUGGUUCCUUGCCCAGCACAAUACUCGUCUUCCUAAGAAUCUUUUUCUUUCCAGGAAUUGUACUGAAUGUGCAUACUCUAAAAUGUAGGCUCUAGCAAGUAACAGGAAAAUUGCUGGCCGCAACAAGCUCUUCAAUUAAACACAAUUUAAUCUCUUGAAUACUGCAUAAGUUCAAACCACUGUCUCAAUAAAUCAGCAAGGGUCCUCGGAAAUGCCUCAAUAUUCUUCAAUACAAUAUAAUAUGGGAAGGGAAAAGAGUCCAGAUAUUUAGUGAAUUUAAGUACUUUUUUUUCACCUUCACCCAUAAAUGAUGCUUCCAUUUGAUCCAUAAUUGAUUCCUGUUGGCUAUCCAGAAGCAGAAACGCAACCAUUCGCUUCUUACUUAAAAAAUCCCUAACACAGCGCUUUAAUUUCUCCUUUUCAUGGAACCGUCCAUCCGCAAUAAUCAAAACAAGCUGUUGUAGUGGGUUCUGUCCAGAAGGGAGUCGUGCUUUUGCAACUGCAGCGUCAAGCAUGUUUGCCAGAUACUUUAACAGAUCAACAACUGGUUCAUCGGCAAUGGUAUUCUCUUGCUUGAAUGUCAAACUGGAGAUUAUCUUUACCCCAGCCUCCCCAGUAAAAGGCUGAUCAAAAUCAUGCAGCAACUUUAUGUUUCCCUUCUUGCCAAAGCUUGCAACAGCCAAAUUUCCCAUUUCCAGUUGAGACAUGGAACGACAUACCGUCACCAAAGAUUCAAUGGCAACAUCCCCACAGCAACUCUCAGACAUACUUCGGGAAUCAUCCACAGCAAUAACAACUUGGUAGUCACGUUUGUUUGGUCGGGUUCGUCUGAGCCAUAUUUUAUCUUUCCGGUAGUGACUUGCUAUGUAAGGAAUGACCUUCUUCAUGUUGAUCCGCUUUCCAGUCUUAUAAUCUCCUUGAAGCUUGCUUGCUAGAGUGGGUUCCAAAACUAGGCGCAAUUGUUCAGCCAACUCCUGUGACAACCUCGUUGUGAGCAACUCAUAUCUUCUCCAAAGAGCAGUGGCAUUACUUUUACUAUCAAGGGAAAUUUCUCCCAGAUCCUGGGCUUUUCCCAGCUCAUUGUCAUCUACUGAAAGUUUGCUAAGAUGAUGUAUGUCCUCGUUCAAGUAAGACUUCUUGACGGAGACUAAACUCCCUGAAAAGGAUCCUGGACCACCAUCAUUAUGUCCAUAAAUUUCUGGGGAUUCCUCCUUGUAUGGCUUCUCAGAAUCAGAGAUCUGCAUCUGCUCUUCUGUAUUAUUUUGGAGGAUUGCGCCAUAAUGUUUGAGAUGCCCUUCUUCAGAAUUGUGCUUCUCAAUAUCCAUUUUGGUAACAUCAUCACUUACUGCUGCACAAUUAUCCUCGUCUGGUUUAUUACUAUCAAUAUUUGUGUUAAUCUGCUCAGAAGUAGCAGGGGCCAAUGUUUGAGCUGUCCCCUUUUCAAACUCAGGAACAUAUCCAUAUUCAUCAGCAUUCUUGUCCUCUAGCUCACCAGGUGCCUCUUUGUUGUCUGCCUCAAGAUCAACAGACACUUUGACCCUUUCCUUCCAUUCAUCAAGUGCAUCCCCAACAUUCCUAUAAGGGUUUGGUUGGUUUUUCUGAACAUAUGAAGAUUCCUUCUGUGGGAGUUCUGCUUUUUGUUGAUCAUCAGUUAAUCUUCCAUUAUUUGAUGAGUCAUAGACCAUCAUGUCCAUCUCAGAGGUAGGACCAGAAGGUACACUUUUCAGGGGAGCGACGUCAUUAUAAGCUUCCCUGGUAUUAGACAUGUUUGCUUCUGGUGCAACAUUUCUUGAAUCAGAUACCUGUGAGUCACCAUUUGGUUGUGAAGCAGAUGCUGUAUUAGGCACAUGAUUGCUGAUUUUGUCAUAAAUUCCAUGUCCAAACACAUCUUUCCUUGAUGAUGUUGAGUUCAUGCCUACGUUCUCUUCAUCAUCCCCACCAGGAUCAUUUCUUUCGGAAGGUUCUCCCACCUCUUCAGUUUCCACGUCCAUCGUUUCAUCAUCAACAGGAUUUGCAUUUUCUUUGCCAUCCCCAUUCUCAGCAGACUCAUCAUGGUUCUCAUUCUCAGCAGACUCACCUUCAGGACUUAUCUCUUCUUUGAAAUCCAGCUCUUCUCCCUUCAUCUCUUCAUCGACAUCCAUAUCCUCUUCAGACCUUUGUUUCAAUUCAUCAAUAUCUAGUCCAGUUGGAUCAGCAAGUGAUUCUUCCUUAUCCAUAUGCACAUCAUCCAUGCUGUCUACUUUAUCACCAAGAUCAUCUUGGUUUCCAACCUCAUCAAUUUGAUUAUCAAGCUCCUCAGAGUUAAGCUCCCCAGGUUCUUCAUCAUCGCUAUCAGCAGCAGCAGAAUCCUCCUUGGAUCUAAGUUCCCUAAUGCUUGCAUCCCUGUCCCUAACUGGUGGCCCAGAUUCAUACUUUUCAUUUGUGUUAUUAGGGUUUUCAUCUUCCUCCUUAUCCCAAAGCUUCUCAUCAAUGACUUUACUGUCAGCUCCUGUUUCCCCCAUUGCAGACUCCAGUUGCCCAUCAUCACCAUCUUCAUCAUUCCCCUCCUCAGAGUCCUCACUUACGCUAAAUGUAUCAGCAGUGAAAUCCUGCUCCAUCUCAAUGCCCUUGUCAUUCUUAUUGGGAGCUUCACCCAAGGCAUCUUGUUCUUCACUUGGCUUUUCAGUAGUUCCAAGAAGUUGAUCUUCAUCAAUCAUCUGUUCACUGACAUCAUUGAGUCCUGAACCUUCACCCAUGCCAGUUCCAGUUGCAUCUUGAGAUCUACCAUGACUGGCAUCAUCUCCCUCAUCUUUGGCAGUAAUACCAAAACCUUUGGAGAACAGUGAACCUAAAACGUCCGCAAGAACAUGAGUCAUUACAGAGACCAUUUUAUGCAUGGCUAAAAGAUCUUGAAGUAAACCAUCACCGAAAGUCAAUAUUAGGGCUGAAAGUGCAUGCAGAUGCUGAAAACAUGCUCCAACACGGAAAGAAAUAGGGGAAGUUUCACAGCCAGAACAACUUAUCAUUUUUUCUGCACAAAUUAUUGUUUUGAGAAGAUUAUCAUAUAACUCCUCUACAUUCAAAUUUUCCAUUGAUGAUUUGAAUAGAUAUUCCCAUGAGGUGAUAUUCUCUGAUGACUCUUCAGACAGGGCAUAUCCAUUACUCAGUGAACACUGUUUUGUCAGCACAUUCAUUAUAAUUUGAAAUGUAUUUUUUAGGGCUCCACCAAACAUAGCAUCUAGCUCAGAACAAUUUUCGGGGGAGGUGGAUUUAUCAAAUGUGCAGGUUGAGUUAUUUCCUGAUUUUGCCUUGAGAGAAAAGUGAAACUCUUCAGCCAACAACUUGCCCUUUUCCAAUACAUCAUCUAAACGACCAAGAAGUGCCUCUAUGACUGAGCUUCUAUUCAAAUCUUGCUUGCGAAAAUCAAUAAGAUGCUCCUCAAACUCCUUAAUAACUUGAAAGUUUCUAUAUACUAAUUGUUCCAUUUUCUUUGAAAUGACGAAUGGACGCACGGGACCAGUAGAUGCAUUACCAACACGAUGAAGAAGACAUUUAUCUAAAGAUUCCUGUACAAGAGUUUGAACAACUCCAAGACGGCCAACAAGAUAGUUAUCCAGUGAUUCCUUGGAUUUCUGCAUGACAGGAGUAAAUUUUUCAAUGAAUUGAAGAACAUGAUUUAUUAAAGGCUUGUUACUUUGACAAGACUUAGAAUGAGUACUUUCCACUGUUCUGAGCAGUAGCGAUUCCUCAACCAACAGAGCAACUAGACCAUCAAAUAAUCCCUUCUGUUUCCAUAAACAUUGAAAGACUGCAUAUUGGUUUGGUGAAAUAGAGCACUCAUUUCCAGUUCUAUUAUCAGUACCAGAGCACCUAGAAUAUAAAUUUUCCAAGGCAGAUAAACUUUCCCACAAGUACUUCAAAUUCUUAGAAAAAUUGUAGGCAGCAGCACGUUGGCUUUGUUGUAUAACUAUUAGAUGGUUCAGAAAAGAGACAGACCUACUAGCCUGCUCGUAAGUAAUAUCUUCAUGAGGUUUCAGACAUAUCCUUUGCAGAAGCUGCACAGAUGCCAUGCUUUUAAAGUAAAAUUCAUUAACUGUCUUCCAUUCAGCAUCCACACUUUCAUCAGGCUGACAUUGCAAUUCACUGGCAGUAGAAGCUCCAUAACACAGUCUGUUCUGGGUCAGUAGCAAAUGCUCCACAUCAUAUGAUGGCUGAAUGAACAACCAGUUUGAAUUGUUGGAUAUCUUCAUAAUUUCAAACUUGUGCUUAUGCAAACCACUGCUCUCUAACAGCUUUAGAAGUUCAGAGAAAGCCCUUUUCUUCCCCACACUUUUUUCAGUAUCUUUCCAGAGAUGAUCACAAUUGAUUGUAGCCCUACUUAUUUUUUCAAGUGUCUGACACACAGCAUUCCACUGUUCCAGUUGUGAUAUGCAUGCAGACUUAGAAGUUAAAUAUUGCUGCAUAAUGCUUGUAAUGUCUGGAAAGCAUAAUUUAGAAGUAUUGUCAACAUGUAAGUUCUGCAAAGUAUCAUUUACUUUUUCCCUCCAAUCAGCGUACCAUAAAAGCCUGUAUUUUUCAGUGAAAUGAUUUAGAACAGCAUUCAACAACCCAACAUUCUUAUCUGAGAUAUCAUUGAGGGGCCUUGGACCUUCCAGAGAUUGAAUUUUAAAUCCUUUAUUUACAGCAUCCUGAUUAAGAAAAAGCAUUGCUGGUUGUUGAAGCACAUCAGUGUAUUUUUGAAUUAGCCUCCUGAGCUUCUGCCGGGUCCUUUUUGAGUUAUCAGCAGAUAAGAAAGCCUCAGCUCGUUCCCAUCGGCAUAGCUUCAGCAGUUCUUUCAGUUCCAUCUCAAUAUUCCUUCUAUUAGCUUCAAUGUGCUCCAAGAUUCUUGGCAAAAGUUGAACAUAGUAUCCAAACACAUUGUACAAAAUCUCCAAAUUUCUCUCCUGCCAAGGACUUGAAUAAGUUUUGAGUCCCAGGCAUCUACCAGCAGUAAUUUGACCAAGGAAAGCAAAAAGAAGCUGAAGACGUUUUCUAAAUUCACCCAUGCUUGAAGUGUUAAUGAACUCUUCCAAACUUUCUAUUAUAGAUUGCUCAUGUUCAGAAACAUCAGCUGCAUGGCCAUGAUGCAAAACUGAGAAUAGAGGAAACCACAACUUGGAAGCAUUGAUCUCAUACUGAUCCUGGACCUCAUUAAGCAAUGCUGGCCAGGAGUCAAAUUCCAUCUUUUGCCACGAGCAAACUAGAGCAAUAAUAGGUGCUAGUUGAUCAGACAAAGAGAACUUGGAUCCAUUUUCUUCUAAUACUUUGGCUCUGUUAAGGAGGAAACGCAAUCCUAAAAGAGCCUUGGCAAGAGGAGUGCUCAAAGGAAUAUCCAAGAGCAGUUCAACUGUAUCUAUGAUUUUCUGGAGACCAGGGUGAUCUUCCCACUCAUUCAGAAGGCUAAGAACUCGUUUUUGAAGAGUGACAAGUAACUUUACCAUUUUAGCCAUCUCAGAAGCAUUUGAAUCCUUGUAAAAGUUGUAAUUAGUUGAUGAUUUAUGAGAUGAAACAAAUAUCCGUUCAUGCUCCAAACAAAGGCGAAGUAAAUGCUCUGGCAUCAGUUUUGCAUCUAAACAAGAAGACACUAGGUCUCCUAAACCUUUAAUCAUCCCUGCACCCAAUGAAUAAGAGUUGGCAAACAAAAGCAACCUAUCUGCCUCAGAGAUAGAAAAAUUUCCGGGCCUUUUAUAUUGGAAACAUCUUACAUGUAAGGCAAGAUUAGUAGAGCCAAAUAGUUGGUUGUGUAUCUGGAUCAUGUUGUUCAGUACGCUUUCCUGCAUGAGGUUCCAUUCCUCCUCCAAGUUUUCAUACUCCGUAAUAGUUUGUGUCUUUUCCAAACAUUCAUCUUCAGAAAGCAACUCUUGCCAUUCUGAGAAAUUUUCAUUUGCUAACAACUUGCCAAAAGUUGAUAUAUCAACAUCAAUAAGAUGCUUGAUCUCAAAGGCACGAGGCCUGAAUUUGUAUUGCUGAGUAUCGCGGCCUUCUUUGCUUUUCACCUGGACUUUCAUAUUCAUCCACAUGCUUGCGAAUUCAUUGAAUAUCUUAUCUAAUAUCUUGAAAGAAGCAUUAUCAAUCCUUUGUGCAUCAGCCACAAAAUGCACAACAUGGACUAGGAAAUUCAAAUGAAGAGCAGUUUUGAGUUGCAAGACAGACACCCGUCUUUCAGCAUUGACAUCAGUUGAAAUGGAAACCAGCUUUUCCAGCAAAUUUAUUUCCCGUUCCCAGAAGUUCACAGGACAGUUGAUAUCAUUGGAAGAAAUUGAUUCAAGUAUGUAUCCUCUUGGGAAUUUCAUGAAUGAACAAACGGAUUCCAUGACCUGCUCCGUACUAGCCACCUCAAUUUUAUUCAAAUUCUUUUUCCACAAGGCACCAGAGAGAAUCAGCGACAGUCCCAGUUUCAUCUCAUAUACCGCAACUUGAAUUGGUUGGGCUAUGUCAAUGUAUUCCUUAUAUUCAUCUGAUAAUUGUUUAAUAAAACAACAGGCUGUUUCCUGCCAGUUACAGACUUGAUCAAGAACUAGUUGCAACUCCAUGACUUCAAUUUUACUCACCAAGUCCACCACAAAAAUAACAAGUUUAAGGAACUCCUUGCAUUCUUUUCUUAGUGCAUUAAAUUUUAAUGGAUUGCCGCGAAACACCAUCUUUCUUCGAAGCUUUUUUUGCACAGCUUGCAGCAUCUGUAAUGCUUUAACUCUCUUUUCAUCAGCCUCUCUAGAAGAGAACCAUCCUGAUAGAUAGUCACAUUCUUGUCGAACCUUAAUUUCAAGCUCAAGUAAUGAAAUCUUCUCCUCUAGUUGCGAGUGCUUGUAAGAGUAUUUCAUAGCAGGAUCCAUAUCAUGACAACUAUGCAAGAGACUGAAGCGCAACCCUCCAAUCCGUAACCAUGCAUAACCAAUGUUCAAAUGAAAGUCAGUGGAAGAGCAACAAACAUAAAGUUCCCUAAGCAGUGGCUCAAUAAACAGAUGAAACACGGAGUUCAAACUUUGGUCACUUGAAGAUGCAAUAAGCACACUCAAAUUUUGCACCUCAUCUUGCGUAAUUAUGUUCUUUUGGAAGGAGCAGAAGAUGGCACUGAUUGCAGAAAAUUUAUCAGCAUCAAAUACUCUUUUAUGUGCAUGUAUAAUCUGUUGGAAGAGAGAGCGAGCAACAGAUAACAGAAUACUGAGUAAGUUUGCGCCUGUUGGAGGACUUUGCCAAAUAUUGUUUGAAGCAACUUUAAGUUUCAAAGAAUGUGCAAAAUAAUCCUUAAUAGGACAUGAACCUUGCACAAUAUGGAUGACAGAUGCCGCUUUCACUGGCUUGGCAAGCAUAGCUGGUACAGGAAUAUCAUAACCACCCAUCUUUAAGGAGUUCUCAAAAAAAACAGGGUAAUGGUUCCACAAAGACAAAUGCCACCAAAACCACAUCUCAAGAACAUAACUUGCAAUUUUUGCAUUCACUGCAUCCACGGAUGCCCAUGCUUCAAGUGUCCAUAAAAUUUUUUGAUGUGGUAUAAAAUUUUGAGGAGGUCUUCCUGAUAAAGUCAAUGAGAAUUUUAAGGCAGAUUCCAGCAUGUUAGAUACACCACCAAGCGCCUGCUGUAAUCCUCGGGGAUCAACCAAAACAAUUGUCGAAAGGUUUUGAAGCAAUUCCAUGUCCAGGAAAAAACUUGUGCUGUCAAUUAAUGGAAGAGCCUCUUGCCAACUAGUGAAGCCAGACUUCAAGCACAAUAUUUCAGGUAAAAAAAUACAACAAGAAGCUGAAUUUCUCUCAAAAACAGUAAGCUCAUCAGACUCUAACUUCGCCCUUAAUUUCUGCUUCUCAUAUCCAAAUCUUUCCAAAAGCAUCUGAUGCAUAUCCUCCAACUGCUGAUUAACUUUGACAUCAUCUUCAUCAGAUUUACUGGUAAUAUACAAUGACAUGCAAAUACCUUGCACUGCAAGAGAGCGAAGUUCAGGAUCAGAAGAUGCAACUAACUCAAUGAGGUCAUCAUCCACCUGCUUAUAUGGAUUUUUAUGUGUUGGCCAGAUUAGCUCACACAGCUCUAAAAGGUGUUGCUGCUUAUGAUACAGUUUAUCAGAGGAAGGUAAUAUUGGGUGACCACCAUGAAUCCAUAGCAAGGACUGCCGUGAUCCCAGAUGAAAUUCUUUAUCUAGAUGCUUACUUCCCAUCAUUAAAACAUUUUCCACAGCUCCCGGACAGAAAUCGUGCAAUUUUGAAACAUCCUUUGCUAUAGAAUGCCAAGACAACAGCAGUUGCUCGAAAUUGGAUGAGACAAAAGCAUUCCAAAACACCAUGUGAUCAUCAAGAAGCUUUGAAUAUAAUUUAAUCAGCACAUCAUAUGAUGGAGAUGUAACCAGCAUAUUAAGGAUUUCUUUCUCUAACCCUUGCAAAGACUCCAAUACUCGUUUGAAACGCUGAGCUUCAUAGCCAUAGUCAUGCCCAACCUGAGCAUUCCACUGUUGAUAAGAAAUUCUUAGAAGGCCUACAGAGUUAAUAGCAUUAGAGAGAAGUUCACAUAAUCUAUUUGACUUGUCAUUUGAAGGACUUAAAUCAACCAAGUCUAGUGAAAGCAAUGGUACUGGCCGCAAGUUCAAAUCUACUUGGUGAAGAGAUCCAAGCUCAUGGUGGCAGUGAAAAAUACACUUCCAAAUAGGAUGCUCAAAUUCCUGCUUGAGCAAAUUUUCAUAAGUAUGAAAAAAGUGGCCAUGUUCUAGUUUAGAGCUAAGCCAGUUAAACCAAAGAAGAUAUAGUUUAUAAUCAAUCUCAGUAGCCUGUUCAAUUGUCCAGUUGGAAGCAAAAAAGAGCAUCUUCUUGGUCAACUUCAGGUCAAACUCUACAUUCCUAUGCGAGCUAGAAAUUAUCCAACUUGAAGCUGUAGGAAACAUGAAUUGAUGUAUCCUCUUCGAAUCAAUCAAAUAAUCCCCCACAUGGCUACUAGUAGAUAAAACUUGGUCUAAGCAAACUUUAUUCCAUGAUACACCCAAUUCAUAUUGAGACAUAAGAUAGCCCAAAUACAUGCAGUUCUGUUUGACAGAUGCUUCCUUCGAGUAAAAAACAUAAUCCCUCAACUUCAAUGGCAUUGGCCAUCCACCAGGCAAAUACAAAGAUAAUUCAACUGGCAAAUCACAUUCUGAAAGUGCUGUCAUUGAUAAGAAAGCGAACUUGGCAUGAUUAAUAAUAUCCCAUCCCACAGCCUCACCUAAGGAAGAUAGAUAAGUAUGCUCCCAACUUAUUUGAAGACUCCAGACAGGCUGGCUUCCAUUUAGAAGAAGCUGCUGGAAUAACUUAAUCCAGCGUGCAAGCUCGAGAUAUGUAAUUUGAACAUUGAAGCGUAGCCCUUCAUUCCUAGCAUAGACAUGAGCUUUGGCCAUUGACUCAACUAAUUUACCAACAGGAACACCAGAUAUAACAAGAAAUCUUUUCACAUCCUUUAAUUCAAACUCUGCACUUUUUCCCUCAUUGAGCAGCCAAUGUGGUUGCAUCAUAAAUAUUUCAACUCCUCUAUUUCGCAUUGCUCGAGAUACUUCACCAUAACUUGGAUUAAUUGUGAGGAACAUUCGAAAGUUGGGGUGUGGAUGGAGAACCACUGGGCUUCCAUCAACAAUCCCACAUUCAUUAACUGUAAUUGAUCCACUCGGCUCCACCAAAGAAUUGAUUCUAUCAAGAACCGUGGGAUUACAAAGGUUUGCAUUCUCCAGAAGAACCCAUUCACCAUUUUCUAUAGCCUUUACAAGUAAUCCAGCAACCCAUUCAAACUUCGCUGAAAACUUCCUUCUUUGUAGAUAUCCUUGCAACUUUGAAAUGGUCACAACAGUGUUAUCCAGUUUAUUUCUUGACCAAGAAACAGGUAAACCAUUGUUUACCACAUCCAACUUUAAUUGCUCAAUAAUCUCAACUAACAAAUUAAGAGAAUUGGCAACACUCUGCCAGUUCUCUAAAAUGUUGGAAGUUGAGAAGAAACUAGAA
rnacentral:misc_RNA from 1 species